AUGUUAUUUUUGCAAGAUAUCACAGUUCUGUUUCAAUUGCAGGUUGCCACAGUCCCUGAAACUCAUUAUCCUUCACUACUGGUGAAAGAAAGAAACAACCUAAGAGCGAAAUAUAUACUGGAUUUCAAGGACAUUUCUCAGGGAGCCUGUGCUCCCAUCUGUGGUGACAUUAGCAGCAAAAAAAUCUCUUCAUGUGCUUGCUACCCAUUUUGUAAAGUGAAACAGAAGUCACUCCACGAUGAAAGGCAGUACGACAGCCACAAGCAGGUAUGGAGCAGCAGGUUACAUUGGUGGGAUGAAGGGCUGUGCUCUGUGGGAAAAUGAAGCAAGGGGGCUUGCUCUGGGCUGCUUAGAACUUCACUGAGCAGGAGCACCACACCUGCCAGGUCUGUGUCUCCUGGUGAGCUCAGUGUGGCUGCAGGAAGUUCCUGCAGGUGCUUUCACAGAAAUCCUUUCCACAGAGAAAUCUACAGUGACAAGGAAAGCAGUUCUAGCCCUGGAUAUUCAGUACUGGGAUUUGUUUUCACAUGCCAUCCCAAACAUAUGGUUCCUGGACAGCAAAAUUUUGUUACAGGUAAUUUAAUUGCACAUUCAGUGUAAGUUGGAAGUACAUAAAUACACAGGACUGGUACAGAACCAUUGCCACUGAAGACAACCAAUACCAUAAGGGAAACAUCUGGUACAGGAGCAUCCAUGAGAACAAUGUUGCAUAAACACACUUAAUCCCAUUAUAACAAACAAGGCUUUCAUCACAAGAUGAGAAUUUCAAAUUCUGCACUGUCAUGGGAGGAAGACCAAGAGACCCAAGAGGAUAUCAGCAAUGCAUUACUGAUCAAAUAUCAACUUAUAAAACAGUUUAUAUAGGUGAAGUAAUUAUAUAAUGCUUAACGAUCAGGCCAGAAGGAAGUUCCUUGCCCCAACAAACUCUAAGGAUUGUUCUUAGUGUGUGCAUCAUAGGAAGCAAGAGUAGAGCCUGAUGCUUAGAGUAGUUUUUGAAGUAAAAGAUAUUUGACAGCGGGAAAGAGUGAAACCAUAACUCAUUUGACCAUGGAGCUGUACAACAUGUGCCAGAGGAGGAGCAGUAGGGCCAGAGAGACAUCAGAACAAUGGGAGAGAUAAAAGCACAUAAGAGAAGGUUUGAUAAUUUCAAAGGGUGAGGAAAUCACAGAAGCUUAGAUCUGAACACAUAUUUUGCUUGCUGGAUGAGUUUCAUUGUACAGAUGGUUACUAUUUCAUCUCAAAGUAAAGGCCAUUACACUGUAUGUGCUGGCUUCUGCUCAACAAACACAUUCUUGUUUCUUUCCUACCCCCAUGAAUUUCCCAUUUUUCUUUAAUCUGAAUUUUAAAGACACUGGAGCUUAGACAGUCCCAGCCACAGACAGAAAAGCUGGAGCUGAAAUGUAGCUCCAAGCAGUUCUCUGGUCCUCUUCUAACCAGGGAGAGCCCUGGCUAAGUACAGAGUUAUAAAAUUUCCUCUAGGUGACCAGAAGGCUUGUAUAUUUGUGUGCCUCCUGACUGAUAAUCUUCUCCAGACACUCAUACAUACAGGUAUUUAGGGAUGGCAGUAGACAUAAAACUGAAGAGCUGAAAUCUAGAAGUCUGCUACGUAACUGGCAGUGUUUCCUUCUCUCUUCUGGUCUUUUCUUUACCUGUCAGUGUUACAUAAAACAACCUUACAGGCUUGAUUCCCUUUAGUUGUCAGCUGUAGUGGAUAUUUUUAGUACAGAACUUUCAACACUAUCUUGAAACAGUGUUAAGGUUGAAACUGGCUAAGGACAGCCAGUGACAUGGACAAGUGUAACACAAUGCCAUUUUUCUAAACAAUAGACAUACUGAAACAGUUAAUCUCUCAUGGUUUAGCUAUGUUUUCAAACUAAAACUGCCAAGAGGAAAGGAAUGCAGUAAACAUCUUUGAGUAUACAAAUACUGUAGAGAUGAUGGCAGAUGACAAGUUUAUUGAAAGAUUUUAAGAAAUGCAGACGUGGAAAAUUAUCAUUUCCUAAAUUAUCUCCUUAUCUGUGACUACUUCCGUGUCUCAAGUAGCAUUCACCUUCUCAUAUGCACAUGCAAUUUGCUAACUUUUGCUAAGAGAGAAGUUAUUUCAUGUCGAGCCUGUAACAGAAAGACACAGAAGAGAAUCACAAUAAAUACACUACUGCUAUUUAGACCUCUGGCA
ensembl:lncRNA